GAAGAAUACUGUAUCCUGCUUUGGGGGCCAUCUUCGCUGCAGCCCUCCUACUGGUGGUCAUUGCCUGCUGGAGGAGACAGAAGACCAACUCGACCAAAACCUCAAGGAGCGCCCACAGCAAUACACAGGGAGACUCUGAUCCUGUCUAUGAUGACGUCUCUAUAGUCCCCAAGGCCUGCAGCGUUGGCCAGAGAGUCCCAGCGCACCAUGAGGAAGAGGAGGAUGAUGUUCAGUAUGCCAGCGUCCAGUUCAAGACCAACAACAAGCAGGAGGUGCCUAGGCAGAAGGAGGACAUCCAGUAUGCCAGCGUCCAGUUCAAGACCAACAACAAGCAGGAGGUGCCUAGCCUGGAGGAGGACAUCCAGUACGCCAGCGUCCAGUUCAAGAAUUUCAAAUCAGAGCCCAUCGUCCCUGAGAAACCUUCGCCUGGCACGCCAGAGGAAGAGACCCAGUAUGCCUCAGUGAGACUCAGUGCUGCCACCCAAAUAGGGGGUGAGUCUGCAAUCUACAGCAGCGUCAACAAGAAACCCAAACCAUGACAGCAAGAGACCCUGGCCUGACCUUUACACUGUCUGAUGAGCAAUGACAUUUGUAGUGAUGUCUGUAAUUGUAUUUAUCUCAACUUAAAAGCAUUUUAUUUCAACCCCUGUUCAUUUUAAUAAAAUUGAUUUGACUUGACUGGUGUCUGAACUG
ensembl:lncRNA